UCGUCUUUGGACUGUGCAGAUUUGCUUUCUUUUUUUGAAACAUGUUAGUCUUUGGAUUCAUGCAAAGGGUUUUACAGGCUUGAGUAAUGUAUUUUACUACACUAAACAUCAGUCUCUCGUUAUGAUACCAAAUAAGUCCCUUAUUCCUCUGCCUCCCUUCGUUGUUAUGUAUGAUCCCACGUAUCAAAUCAUAGGAUAAACAAAAUAAACCACAAAUAGGUAAGUUUCAAAUCAACAUAGAACACUUGCUUUAUAAAUAACUCGAGCGUUAAGUUUGAAAAAAAACUCCAACCGUUAUUAUCUUUAUAUGAUUUUCUAGGCAAUUUUAAAAAGAACGGUGGGAUUAUGAAAUCUUUUGUACAGAAAUGGAUCCAGAUCACUACAUACAUAUAUAAAAGCCACAGAGAAGUUUACAAGAACAUGCGGAACUUAUAUUAAGGUGUACAGACUGAAUGAUAUAUAAAAGAAACCAAUAAGAAAGUUUUUUUUUUUUUGGAACUCUACCAAUAAGAAAGUUAAUUCGGUGAAAACUCACACGAAACAUUGAAAAGAGUCAAUACAAACACACAACUUAACGGCUUGACUUGCUCGCUAAAGCCCAUCUACCCUCUCCUGUCGACAUGCCCACUGGGCCUUUUUAGUUUUUUAUUAAUGAAAUUAGCAGUUGCACAAAAAAAAAACUUAACGGCUUGACUCUUUACCGAGUCUUCUCCACUGUCGUCAACCCUGGUCAACCGCCCAACAAGUGUGGUCAGGUCACUUGUGUUCUGUUUGUAUAACCUGUAAGUUUCAUUACAUUGUCCUUCCUCUCAUUUUCUUUUUUUUUUGAACUUAAUCCUUCCUCUCAUUUUCACUCCCCCCAUGUUCUAGUUUCAAAAUUUAAAAGCCAAUCCUCUUUUUCAAAACUUCGACAGAUAAGGUCCUCACAAUGCAAAAAAUUCCUCAUAAUGACUUGUCAUCACCGUUUUAAACAAGUCCAUAUCCAUUCCCCUCGAGCUUAGACGUGAAUGGUAUAAUAGUAGCUUUGGCCCUACACAAGUGUGUUUGUGUGUUUAUUCCUAUAUAUAUUUAUUUUUAUCUUCAUUCGUUCUUAUAAGCUCUAUUUUUCCAACUCAAAACAUAAUUUAUGAAACGAUAUUCAGCUAAUUAGAGGAAUCAAUGUGAAUAGAAUAAGCACGAGGAGUAUCCAAUUGAAUGUUCUUAGAACUUAUAAGUAUAAUUUAAUGACAACCAACUAAGUGCUACUAACCAUAUCGAGAAAAAAUAUUCUAGAGUAGCAUAACCAGGAACGGACCCACUUGAAGAGGAGUAGAGUCACUUGACACCACACAAAACAUGUUAAAAUAUGUUUUACAAAGAAAAACAGCAAAAAAUUGGUAGCAGGGUUUGGUUAAGUACGGUGCUUGACACCGCAUAACCCGGGCUUCGAAGCCAGCAGAGACGCUUCGAACCAUACUCUUCAAAAUUAGGCUGAUCAGUGCUAGUUAAACUCUAUGUUUCUCUUGUAGAGUUCAAAACUUGCAUCCUUCUUCGGGCUAUAACUUCAGCUAUUAUAACAUUUUAUGCAACUUUCAUAUCAAUUACCUGUCCAAAUAAACCAAUUAUCAUAUCAGAAAAAUAAUGUGCUUCCAUUAACUGAUUUCUUGUGUAAGAAUUUUGUUAGCUCUAUGAACUUUGUUAGUAGUUUCUUCCACAUCUAAACCCUUCUCGUUGAAAUAGUUUUAGAUAUCUAGAAAUAUCAUUGCCUUCUCGUUUCAUUAUUAUUUCACAUAUGAUUUUAUGUUUAAAUAUCAGUUAAAGAAAAGAAAAUACCAUGACUGAUUCCUUUUGAAUUAUGUUUCUUAUUAUUGUAAAACGAUAUAAUUUACACUUCUCUGAAGGAUAUAGUCGCAAUAUUCUUUUGUAAUAUAUAGUUGCAAUGUUUUAAAAACGGAGAGAGUAUAUAUUGGCGUCAUGUAUUUUAUCAACGUGACCGCAAAAUCCGCAAGGCUACAGUGUCACGUGUCUUCUUAUUGUUGGGUUGAAAUCUUACCGACAAACAGAUCCUAGUCGGGUCCACGUGCGUAAUGAGAUCACUUCAAUGUCCUUUACUCCCCUGUCCCUUUUGUCUAAUUACGACGCUUACAGGAGGGUAAGUAAAAUACUCCCUCUGUUUCUAAAAAUAGAAUGUUUUACAGAAUUUUGAUGUUCUAAUUUAUAAAAUGUUUUUAUUUUUCUAUGUAAUUUUUACUUUAUUAAAAACUGUAUACUCAAUCAUAUUUUAAUAGUCUAUUUUAUAAUUGGUUGAAUACCAUUAAUUUAUAGUUUUAAUGAUAUUUUCUAGACAAAAAUAGUUUUUUUAAUAUGUGUGUUUUUAUCUAAACAUUUUAUAUUUAGGAGCGGAGGGACUAGUUCUUUUGGCAAACUUCCAAAAUUAGUUAUGUACAAAUAUGAUUUGCUAAGAAAACCUGCCUUCCAUUCAGAAAUCUUUGCGAAAGGUCUGAUUUAUCAAUUUGUUAUAUUCAGACUACACUAAACAUCAGUCUCUCGUUAUGAUACCAAAUAAGUACCUUAUUCCUCUGCCUCCCUUCGUUGUUAUGUAUGAUCCCACGUAUCAAAUCAUAGGAUAAACAAAAUAAAC
rnacentral:lncRNA from 1 species